rnacentral:ncRNA from 1 species
CAACAGAUAGUGAACUGUGCCUGGGCAGAGCAAAGCCUGAGGAAACUCUGGUAGUCCUGAGGUACAAAUCGAUCGUCCAGCCUGGGUAUGGAGUGAAAGACUAACUGAACCAUCUCGUAGCU